rnacentral:lncRNA from 1 species
AUGUACAGGUUGAUAUCCCAAAGAGAGCAUAAAAUUCUAUGGUUUAUAGGGGCACAAAACGUGCAGGGAGUGAUGUGCUGGGUGGGGGCCAGGGAGGCCAAACGAGGCCUCUGGGGAAGGCUCGGGGACCCUCCUCUCCAUCCACAGGGGUUUCUCAGGGGACCCCUCCUCUCGGUCCACAGGGGUUUCUCAGGGGACCCUCCUCUCCAUCCACAGGGGUUUCUCAGGGGACCCUCCUCUCGCUCCACAGGGGUUUCUCAGGGGACCCUCCUCUCCAUCCACAGGGGUUUCUCAGGGGACCCUCCUCUCGCUCCACAGGGGUUUCUCAGGGGACCCUCCUCUCCCUCCGCAGGGGUUUCUCAGGGGACCCUCCUCUCCCUCCGCAGGGGUUUCUCAGGGGACCCUCCUCUCCGUCCGCAGGGUUUCUCAGGGGACCCUCCUCUCGCUCCACAGGGUUUCUCAGGGGACCCUCCUCUCCCUCCGCAGGGUUUCUCAGGGGACCCUCCUCUCCGCAGGGGUUUCUCAGGGGACCCUCCUCUCCGCAGGGGUUUCUCAGGGGACCCUCCUCUCCGCAGGGGUUUCUCAGGGGACCCUCCUCUCCCUCCGCAGGGUUUCUCAGGGGACCCUCCUCUCCGUCCGCAGGGUUUCUCAGGGGACCCUCCUCUCCCUCCGCAGGGGUUUCUCAGGGGACCCUCCUCUCCGCAGGGGUUUCUCAGGGGACCCUCCUCUCCCUCCGCAGGGGUUUCUCAGGGGACCCUCCUCUCCCUCCGCAGGGGUUUCUCAGGGGACCCUCCUCUCCGCAGGGGUUUCUCAGGGGACCCUCCUCUCCCUCCGCAGGGGUUUCUCAGGGGACCCUCCUCUCCCUCCGCAGGGGUUUCUCAGGGGACCCUCCUCUCCCUCCGCAGGGUUUCUCAGGGGACCCUCCUCUCCGUCCGCAGGGGUUUCUCAGGGGACCCUCCUCUCCCUCCGCAGGGGUUUCUCAGGGGACCCUCCUCUCCCUCCGCAGGGGUUUCUCAGGGGACCCUCCUCUCCGCAGGGUUUCUCAGGGGACCCUCCUCUCCGCAGGGUUUCUCAGGGGACCCUCCUCUCCGUCCGCAGGGGUUUCUCAGGGGACCCUCCUCUCCGCAGGGUUUCUCAGGGGACCCUCCUCUCCGUCCGCAGGGGUUUCUCAGGGGACCCUCCUCUCCCUCCGCAGGGGUUUCUCAGGGGACCCUCCUCUCCGUCCGCAGGGGUUUCUCAGGGGAC